CUUAUGCUACGGGAGGCAGCAGUGGGGAAUAUUGCACAAUGGGGGAAACCCUGAUGCAGCAACGCCGCGUGAAGGAAGACGGUUUUCGGAUUGUAAGCUUCUGUUCUUAGUGAAGAAGAAUGACGGUAGCUAAGGAGCAAGCCACGGCUAACUACGUGCCAGCAGCCGCGGUAAUACGUAGGUGGCAAGCGUUGUCCGGAAUUACUGGGUGUAAAGGGAGCGCAGGCGGGAAGCCAAGUCAGCUGUGAAAACUACGGGCUUAACUUGUAGACUGCAGUUGAAAAUGGGUUUCUUG
rnacentral:rRNA from 1 species